CCUACGGGUGGCAGCAGUGAGGAAUAUUGGUCAAUGGCCGUAAGGCUGAACCAGCCAAGUAGCGUGAGGGAAGACUGCCCUAUGGGUUGUAAACCUCUUUUAUGCGGGAAUAAAGGAGGCCACGUGUGGAGUUUUGCAAGUACCGCAUGAAUAAGGACCGGCUAAUUCCGUGCCAGCAGCCGCGGUAAUACGGAGGGUACGGGCGUUAUCCGGAUUUAUUGGGUUUAAAGGGAGCGUAGGCCGGUCUUUAAGCAUGCCGUGAAAUUUUGUGGCUCAACCAUGAGAGUGCGGCGGGAACUGGAGUCCUUGAGUGAGCGGAAGGCAGGCGGAAUUCGUGGUGUAGCGGUGAAAUGCUUAGAUAUCACGCAGAACCCCGAUUGCGAAGGCAGCAUGCCGCAGCGCUACUGACGCUGAAGCUCGAAAGCGCGGGUAUCGAACAGGAUUAGAUACCCUUGUAGUC
rnacentral:rRNA from 1 species